GUGGGGAAUCUUCCGCAAUGGACGAAAGUCUGACGGAGCAACGCCGCGUGAGUGAAGAAGGUUUUCGGAUCGUAAAGCUCUUUCGUCAGGGACGAACGUAUUUCUUGUAAAUAAUGAGAGAUAGUGACGGUACCUGAAUAAGAAGCCACGGCUAACUACGUGCCAGCAGCCGCGGUAAUACGUAGGUGGCAAGCGUUGUCCGGAAUUAUUGGGCGUAAAGCGCGCGCAGGCGGGAUAUCAAGUCUGUCUUAAAAGUGCGAGGCUCAACCUCGUGAGGGGACAGAAACUGGUAUUCUUGAGUGUCGGAGAGGAAAGUGGAAUUCCAAGUGUAGCGGUGAAAUGCGUAGAGAUUUGGAAGAACACCAGUGGCGAAGGCGACUUUCUGGACGAUGUCUGACGCUGAGGCGCGAAAGCUAGGGGAGCGAACGGGAUUAGAAACCCUAGUAGUCC
rnacentral:rRNA from 1 species